UACGAAGGGGGCUAGCGUUGUUCGGAAUUACUGGGCGUAAAGCGCACGUAGGCGGAUAUUUAAGUCAGGGGUGAAAUCCCGCAGCUCAACUGCGGAACUGCCUUUGAUACUGGGUAUCUUGAGUAUGGAAGAGGUAAGUGGAAUUCCGAGUGUAGAGGUGAAAUUCGUAGAUAUUCGGAGGAACACCAGUGGCGAAGGCGGCUUACUGGUCCAUUACUGACGCUGAGGUG
rnacentral:rRNA from 1 species